AGGAGGUCGGGGCGAGAACGAAACGAAUACGGUGACCGGGGGAAUCGGACCAGACACCAGUGUGGGUGUGGGCGUGUGGCCGCCCGCGUACACACAGCCCUUCCGGACUCGGGCACCCCCAGGAAACAAACCCCCAUGGCCGCCACGCCGCCAUGGCCGCCGCCCGUGGCGACCCGCGCGGACCCCGGCCACCGCAGGCACAAGAAAUCUGCUGAGCGCAAUACCAGUGUGUUUAUGCCUAGAGUUGCAACCUAUUCCAGUGGUCAUGCACUUCCUGUUGCAAAUAGGGUCCCCAGUUUGGGAUUUGACAGUGCUACCAAGGAAUGGGAUAACAUUCAUCAGCACAAGGUCCAAUCGAUCAACUUCCUUUCUAGUCUUGAACGUCCCUCUGAAAAUUCUGUGAUAGCCGGCAAAAUGGCAGGCGGCAAAUUGAACAAUCAUUCUGUGGAGCCAACAAAACGCAAUCAUCUAUUCAGCUUGAUUGAGUUAGUGUUGCAGAAAAGGCCCAAGACGCAAAAUCUUGCGGUAUGUAACUUUCAUCAGAAUCUGACUUGCCUAUAGCGGAAGAGGAGAAACCAAAAAAAGAAAGUGAUGGUCUUGAGGAAUAUUGGAAAGAUUUUGUUUGAAAGCACAAAGGCUUCAAGGAGAAGAACAAAUUGCUAUGGACGCUCAAAGGAUGCUGAUGAGAUAGACUGGUAGUGUUAAACUGUCUGAAGAUUCCAUAGUUGCAGAUAUUGCUAUUCAUCCUAGGCAAAUGAGACUGCAUCAGUUGGAAGAUUCAACUUUUCGUUAAGGAUUUUAUCGGAGACAAGCUUGGAGGUUGCAUUCUUGCUCAGGCCCCAGGUUCUGGGAAAACAGUUAUGCUUAUGAGUUCUGUUCAGAGCUUCCUAGCAAGAUAUCCAUAUGCAAGGUACCGUGGUGUGCUGCUCUAUGGGAUAUUGGGUAAGUGGAAGAAAGAAAUUCAAUGCUGGCAAGUGCAGGAUAUACCGUUGCACAAUUUCUACUCUGUUAAGGCUGAAAAAAGACUAGAGCAAUUGGAAGUCAUCAAAUCAUACAGACUUAGUAAGACUUCAGCGUGUUGUUGAAACUCACUACCAUGCAGAAAGAGACUAUUCAAAAGAAGAUGGAGCAUAUGACAAGUUCAAAAUAAGUGCGGUGAUACUUCAUUGUACGUUCAUCCUCUUCCAGAAAGUUCAAAGGUUAAUGCUGAGGAUAGGACUAACACCUUGACAGAUAAGUCAGCUGGUAUUACUAUUGGUUUAACUAAUCAAUGUGAGAGAUGGGGUGAAGGCCAGGUUGGUCAUGAAUAUCCUGUCACUUUUUAUCUCUGCUAGAGAGAAAUGUCUUGAUUUUAGCCAAUAUAUACUCCCAAUGAAAUUUUUGGAGAGGCUGCUGGUUAAGGUGAAA